rnacentral:rRNA from 1 species
CUACGGGUGGCUGCAGUGGGGAAUAUUGCACAAUGGGCGCAAGCCUGAUGCAGCCAUGCCGCGUGUGUGAAGAAGGCCUUCGGGUUGUAAGGCACUUUCAGCGGGGAGGAAGGCGGUGAGGUUAAUAACCUCAUCGAUUGACGUUACCCGCAGAAGAAGCACCGGCUAACUCCGUGCCAGCAGCCGCGGUAAUACGGAGGGUGCAAGCGUUAAUCGGAAUUACUGGGCGUAAAGCGCACGCAGGCGGUCUGUCAAGUCGGAUGUGAAAUCCCCGGGCUCAACCUGGGAACUGCAUUCGAAACUGGCAGGCUAGAGUCUUGUAGAGGGGGGUAGAAUUCCAGGUGUAGCGGUGAAAUGCGUAGAGAUCUGGAGGAAUACCGGUGGCGAAGGCGGCCCCCUGGACAAAGACUGACGCUCAGGUGCGAAAGCGUGGGGAGCAAACAGGAUUAGAUACCCCUGUAGUC